UACGAAGGGGGCUAGCGUUGCUCGGAAUCACUGGGCGUAAAGCGCACGUAGGCGGUCUUUUAAGUCAGGGGUGAAAUCCUGGAGCUCAACUCCAGAACUGCCUUUGAUACUGAGAGACUUGAGUCCGGGAGAGGUGAGUGGAACUGCGAGUGUAGAGGUGAAAUUCGUAGAUAUUCGCAAGAACACCAGUGGCGAAGGCGGCUCACUGGCCCGAAACUGACGCUGAGGCACGAAAGCGUGGGGAGCAAACAGGG
rnacentral:rRNA from 1 species